GUUAAGUCUUCAUUUCAAGAACUCCUAUUGCAUAUCUCCUGGCACUCCUGAACAUCAAGAAUUAGAUGCUGACAGAUGUCCCAAUCAACCUCAACUGAGUGUGUAA